UGCAGACGGGCAUGUCGUGGGGAGCGUUU
rnacentral:piRNA from 1 species